ACCAUCAUAGUGACUUGUAAGCAACUCACUGUGCUUUAGUACCAGACUAUCUGAGUUUCUAACUCAGUGACAGAAGGAUACUAGAUGCAGUCAACUACUUAUCAAGUCGGUCUGUGAGUCAAGAUGGAAUUGACCCCUCUAAAUUGGUAGGAAAUAUACAUCAGUGUAUUUCAAUUUAGCAAAACUUUUGUCAGGAUAAUCUAUGAGAUAGAUUUAAAAGAUUGAAAUAUAAUGUGGUCGACUUAAUUAGG
rnacentral:lncRNA from 1 species